rnacentral:rRNA from 1 species
GAUGAACGCUGGCGGCGUGCUUAACACAUGCAAGUCGAACGAUGAAGCCCAGCUUGCUGGGUGGAUUAGUGGCGAACGGGUGAGUAACACGUGAGUAACCUGCCCUUAACUCUGGGAUAAGCCUGGGAAACUGGGCCUAAUACCGGAUAGGAGCGCCUACCGCAUGGUGGGUGUUGGAAAGAUUUAUCGGUUUUGGAUGGACUCGCGGCCUAUCAGCUUGUUGGUGAGGUAAUGGCUCACCAAGGCGACGACGGGUAGCCGGCCUGAGAGGGUGACCGGCCACACUGGGACUGAGACACGGCCCAGACUCCUACGGGAGGCAGCAGUGGGGAAUAUUGCACAAUGGGCGAAAGCCUUAUGCAGCGACGCCGCGUGAGGGAUGACGGCCUUCGGGUUGUAAACCUCUUUCAGUAGGGAAGAAGCGAAAGUGACGGUACCUGCAGAAGAAGCACCGGCUAACUACGUG